UACGGAGGGGGGCUAGCGUUGUUCGGAAUUACUGGGCGUAAAGCGCACGUAGGCGGCUUUGUAAGUUAGAGGUGAAAAGCCCAGGGCUCAACCCUGGAAUUGCCUUUAAGACUGCAUCGCUUGAACAUCGGAGAGGUAAGUGGAAUUCCGAGUGUAGAGGUGAAAUUCGUAGAUAUUCGGAAGAACACCAGUGGCGAAGGCGACUUACUGGACGAUUGUUGACGCUGAGGUGCGAAAGCGUGGGGAGCAAACAGG
rnacentral:rRNA from 1 species